ensembl:snRNA U6 U6 spliceosomal RNA
AUGCUCGCUUCAGCAGCAAAUAUACCAAAAUUGGAACAAUACAGAGAAGAUUAGCGUGGCCCUUGCACAAGGACAACAUGCAAAUUCACGAGGUAUUCCAUAUUUUG